UUGCUUUGGCAGCACACAUAAAAAAUAAAUGGAAUGACAGAGAUUACAAUGGUCCUGGCAUAAGGGUGACACCUAAAUUCAUGAUGGGUCCCAUAUUUAA
rnacentral:snRNA from 1 species